rnacentral:rRNA from 1 species
UACGAAGGGUGCAAGCGUUACUCGGAAUUACUGGGCGUAAAGCGUGCAUAGGUGGUUUGUUAAGUCUGUUGUGAAAGCCCCGGGCUCAACCUGGGAAUGGCAAUGGAUACUGGCAAGCUAGAGUGCGGUAGAGGGUAGUGGAAUUCCCGGUGUAGCGGUGAAAUGCGUAGAGAUCGGGAGGAACACCAGUGGCGAAGGCGGCUACCUGGACCAGCACUGACACUGAGGCACGAAAGCGUGGGGAGCAAACAGG